rnacentral:rRNA from 1 species
CUGGCCGUAAACGAUGGAUACUAGGUGUGGGAGGUAUCGACCCCUUCCGUGCCGGAGUUAACGCAAUAAGUAUCCCGCCUGGGGAGUACGGCCGCAAGGCUGAAACUCAAAGGAAUUGACGGGGACCCGCACAAGCGGUGGAGUAUGUGGUUUAAUUCGACGCAACGCGAAGAACCUUACCAAGGCUUGACAUUGAGUGAAAGAUCUAGAGAUAGAUUCCUCUCUUCGGAGACACGAAAACAGGUGG